rnacentral:rRNA from 1 species
AGGACGAACGCUGGCGGCGUGCCUAACACAUGCAAGUCGAACGCGCUCCAUUCGGUAGCAAUACUGAUGAAGAGUGAGUGGCGAACGGGUGAGUAACACAUGAGCAACCUGCCCCGAAGACUGGGACAACACCGGGAAACCGGUGCUAAUACCGGAUAUCCCUAUCGGACCGCAUGAUCUGAUAAGGAAAUGGAUUCCGCUUCGGGAGGGGCUCGUGGCCUAUCAGCUAGUUGGUGAGGUAACGGCUCACCAAGGCAUCGACGGGUAGCUGGUCUGAGAGGACGAUCAGCCACACUGGGACUGAGACACGGGCCCAGACUCCUACGGGAGGCAGCAGUGGGGAAUCUUGCGCAAUGGGCGAAAGCCUGACGCAGCAACGCCGCGUGGAGGACGAAGGCUUUCUGAGUUGUAAACUCCUUUCAGCAGGGACGAUAGUGACGGUACCUGCAGAAGAGCACCGGCCAACUACGCGCCAGCAG